rnacentral:rRNA from 1 species
UACAGAGGUCUCAAGCGUUGUUCGGAUUCACUGGGCGUAAAGGGUGCGUAGGCGGCGCGGUAAGUCGGGUGUGAAAUCUCGGGGCUUAACUCCGAAACUGCAUUCGAUACUGCCGUGCUUGAGGACUGGAGAGGAGACUGGAAUUCAUGGUGUAGCAGUGAAAUGCGUAGAGAUCAUGAGGAAGACCAGUGGCGAAGGCGGGUCUCUGGACAGUUCCUGACACUGAGACACGAAGGCCAGGGGAGCAAACCGG